rfam:Astyanax mexicanus chromosome 12, whole genome shotgun sequence.
AGCUUCAUGCUAAGGUGCAUUUAGUGCAGAUAGUGGAGUAAAUACACCUACUGCUCUAAGUGCUCCUUCAGGCACGAAGG